AGGACGAACGCUGGCGGCGUGCCUAACACAUGCAAGUCGAACGAGGUUCAUCCGGUAGCAAUACCGGAGAAGACCAAGUGGCGAACGGGUGAGUAGCACGUGAGCAACCUGCCCCGAAGACCGGGACAACACCGGGAAACCGGUGCUAAUACCGGAUAUCCCCACCGAGUCGCAUGGCUUGGUGAGGAAAUGGAUUCCGCUUCGGGAGGGGCUCGCGGCCUAUCAGCUUGUUGGUGAGGUAACGGCUCACCAAGGCUUCGACGGGUAGCUGGUCUGAGAGGACGAUCAGCCACACUGGGACUGAGACACGGCCCAGACUCCUACGGGAGGCAGCAGUGGGGAAUCUUGCACAAUGGGCGAAAGCCUGAUGCAGCAACGCCGCGUGAGGGACGAAGGCUUUCUGAGUUGUAAACCUCUUUCAGCAGGGACGAUUGUGACGGUACCUGCAGAAGACGCCCGGACAACUACGCGCCAGCAGCCGCGGU
rnacentral:rRNA from 1 species